rnacentral:tRNA from 1 species
GCCCAGGUGGCGGAAUUGGUAGACGCGCUGGUCUCAAACACCAGUGAGAUAACACUCGUGCCGGUUCGAUCCCGGCCCUGGGUA